CAGUCGCCGCGGGAACACGAAGGGUGCAAGCGUUAAUCGGAAUUACUGGGCGUAAAGCGUGCGUAGGCGGUGAGUUAAGUCUGCUGUGAAAUCCCCGGGCUCAACCUGGGAAUGGCAGUGGAUACUGGCUCGCUAGAGUGUGUCAGAGGAUGGUGGAAUUCCCGGUGUAGCGGUGAAAUGCGUAGAGAUCGGGAGGAACAUCAGUGGCGAAGGCGGCCAUCUGGGACAACACUGACGCUGAGGCACGAAAGCGUGGGGAGCAAACAGGAUUAGAUACCCCAGUAGUCCCUGUCUCUUAUAC
rnacentral:rRNA from 1 species